AUGUCAUGGCAUAAUCUUUUAUCCCGUCUGGAUCUGAUUAACCUGACGCAAGGUCGUGAUGUGUUUCGCUGGAACCUUACUACAUCGGGGUCUUUCACGAUAGACUCUAUGUAUCGUGCGCUCACGCAUUCUGAGGUACCAGAGAGCAAUAACAAGAAAAUCUGGAAGGCAAAGAUUCCACUAAAAGUUAAAAUAUUCAUGUGGUAUUUCUGUAGAGGUGUUGUGCUAACCAAAGACAACCUUGCAUGACGCAACUGGCCAGGAAGUAAGAAGUGUUGUUUUUGUACUCAUAACGAGACAAUCAAACACCUCUUUUUUAAAUGCAAGUUUGCGCAUUCUACGUGGUCAGUCAUCUAA
rnacentral:rRNA from 1 species